AUGGCCGGGAUGUGCCGGGUGACCCUGCUGGAGUGCGGGGGGGACCUCCAGCCCCCCGGGGGGUCCCUGACUCUGCUCUGCCGCGCCUCCGGCUUCGAUUUUGGGAGUUAUGGAAUGCUCUGGAUCCACCAAAGACCUGGGAAGGCGCUGGAAUACGUUGCACAGAUCGGAAACAAUGGCGGUUACAUCUACUACGCGCCAUCGGUGCAGGGUCGGUUCACGAUCUCCAGGGACAACGGGCAGAGCUCGGUGACGCUGACCAUGAACAACCUCAAGGACGAGGAUUCCGCCGUUUAUUUCUGUGCCAAAGAUUACAGCGAUUAUUGGGUUGCUGCUGGUGCUGCUUUUGGUAAUCACGGUUAUUUUGACGAUGUUGCUUGUUCUCUGAAACUCCAAUUCUUGUGUCCCCAAACAUCCCAUAAUUUCCGCUUUUGUCCCCCAAAUCCACACCCUUUCCAUCAAAUCUUGCCUGUUUUGCCCCAAACUGCUCCAGCACGGCCCCAGCUCUCGACUUCCCCCAGCUGGGCCCAAAUCUCCGCCUUUCACCCCUGA